rnacentral:rRNA from 1 species
CCUACGGGAGGCAGCAGUGGGGAAUAUUGCACAAUGGAGGAAACUCUGAUGCAGCCAUGCCGCGUGUGUGAAGAAGGCCUUCGGGUUGUAAAGCACUUUCAGUUGUGAGGAAAGGUUAGUAGUUAAUACCUGCUAGCUGUGACGUUUACNACCGGAAGAAGCACCGGCUAACUCCGUGCCAGCAGCCGCGGUAAUACGGAGGGUGCAAGCGUUAAUCGGAAUUACUGGGCGUAAANCGCACGCANGCGGUCUGUUAAGCUAGAUGUGAAAGCCCCGCGCUCAACGUGGGAUGGUCAUUUAGAACUGGCASACUAGAGUUUUGGAGAGGAGAGUGGAAUUCCAGGUGUAGCGGUGAAAUGCGUAGAUAUCUGGAGGAACAUCAGUGGCGAAGGCGACUCUCUGGUCAAUAACUGACGNUCAUGUGCGAAAGUGUGGGUAGCGAACGGGAUUAGAUACCCCGGUAGUCCACACCGUAAACGCUGUCUACUAACUGUUUGUGGAUUUAAUCCGUGAGUAGUGAAGCUAACGCGAUAAGCAGACCGCCUGGGGAGUACGGCCGCAAGGUUAAAACUCAAAGGAAUUGACGGGG